AGUAAAUUGGCUGCAGGAUUGGAAGAAGUCCAAGGACAGUGUGGGAUGCCACCCUGUAGCUGUCUAGAGACCUAGUGAAGCGAGGAUGCCAUGAGGAAAGCUGGUGUGGCACACAGUAAAUCCAGCAAGGAUAUGGAGAGCCAUGUUUUCCUGAAGGCCAAGACCCGGAUCCUAUGAAUGCACUCCAGAGCCUGACUGGCGGACCCGCCGCGGGAGCCGCCGGAAUUGGCAUGCCUCCUCGGGGCCCGGGACAGUCUCUGGGCGGGAUGGGUAGCCUUGGUGCCAUGGGACAGCCAAUGUCUCUCUCAGGGCAGCCGCCUCCUGGGACCUCGGGCAUGGCCCCUCACAGCAUGGCUGUCGUGUCUACGGCAACUCCACAGACCCAGCUGCAGCUCCAGCAGGUGGCGCUGCAGCAGCAGCAGCAACAGCAGCAGUUCCAGCAGCAGCAGCAGGCGGCGCUACAGCAGCAGCAACAGCAGCAACAGCAGCAGUUCCAGGCUCAGCAGAGUGCCAUGCAGCAGCAGUUCCAAGCAGUAGUGCAGCAGCAGCAGCA
rnacentral:sRNA from 1 species